rnacentral:rRNA from 1 species
AACGAACGCUGGCCGCAGGCCUAACACAUGCAAGUCGAGCGAAGCCUUCGGGCUUAGCGGCGGACGGGUGAGUAACGCGUGGGAACGUGCCCUUUGGUACGGAAUAGCCCCGGGAAACUGGGAGUAAUACCGUAUGUGGUCGAGAGACGAAAGAUUUAUCGCCAAAGGAUCGGCCCGCGUUGGAUUAGGUAGUUGGUGGGGUAAUGGCCUACCAAGCCGACGAUCUAUAGCUGGUUUGAGAGGAUGAUCAGCCACACUGGGACUGAGACACGGCCCAGACUCCUACGGGAGGCAGCAGUGGGGAAUCUUAGACAAUGGGGGAAACCCUGAUCUAGCCAUGCCGCGUGAUCGAUGAAGGCCUUAGGGUUGUAAAGAUCUUUCAGUGGGGAAGAUAAUGACUGUACCCACAGAAGAAGCCCCGGCUAACUCCGUGCCAGCCGCCGCGGUAACAC